AAGCAUUCACCGUGGAAACUCCAUCAUUAUCAUCUGUUAUGCUCCACAUCAUUUACUAGCUGCUCUUCUCUUGGAAGCACAAGACAACCUAACUGUCUUGAUGAAGGAAUUCAGUUUAAUUAGACUAACCAUUGGCCACUACACUGUCUAUGAUAAAAGGAUCAGAUACAAAGUAAUGAAUAAUGAGUGUCUUGCAGAGGAGAUUAAACUAGCUGAUGGAGAGGAACAAGAACUGAGGACUUUACUUGAUUACAAAGAAGGAUCAAUAUUUGAACA